UCUCUCUGUAGCUCAGUUUGUUAGAGCGUUGCACAGCAAUCGCAGGGUCGCUGGUUCGAUUCCUGUCAGAGGAC